UGGACCUGACCUUAAUUUAGCACCUUGUCACGUGCCAGCAGUGGUCACGAUGCCUAGAAAGUGCACUGUGUGAAUUGAAUCUCAUUUUUGAGCGCUGGUUUUGGUUGGGAUUUCGCUGGGUGUAGCACACAGUGGCACUCCCCUGGAGGAUCAUCAGCUUCACUUCCAGCGGCAAGGUGUAUGUGGCCCAGGUGAAGGAAAGGGCUGCUGCCAGGAAAAUUUACGACGCAGCUAAGAAGCAAGGAAAAACAGCAGGACUUGUCGCUACCAAAGAGAGGGAAAUUGAGAAGUUUCGUGUUGCAGUGAGUGUGCCAUCAGGGGCUAGGGUGUCCUUCUUCCUGACGUACGAGGAGCUGUUACAGCGUCGGCUCGGCCGCUAUGAGCUCACUCUGGGUCUGAGGCCCGGUCAGCUUGUCCAGAACCUCACAUUAGAUGUCUGCAUAAGAGAGAGGACAGGCAUCAGUUUUCUUAAGGUCCUUCCUCUUAGGACAAGCCGAGCGGUCGCCAACACCCCACCUCA